UACGUAGGGUGCGAGCGUUGUCCGGAAUUAUUGGGCGUAAAGAGCUCGUAGGCGGUCUGUCGCGUCGGCUGUGAAAUCUCGGGGCUCAACCCCGAGCCUGCAGUCGAUACGGGCAGACUAGAGUGCUGUAGGGGGAGACUGGAAUUCCUGGUGUAGCGGUGAAAUGCGCAGAUAUCAGGAGGAACACCGGUGGCGAAGGCGGGUCUCUGGGCUGAUACUGACGCUGAGGUGCGAAAGCGUGGGGAGCAAACAGG
rnacentral:rRNA from 1 species